GCCGGGCAUGGUGUCUCAUGCCUGUAAUCCCAGCACUUUGGGAGGCCGAGGCAGGUGGAUCACCUGAGGUUAGGAGUUUGAGACCAGCCUGGCCUACAUGGUGAAACCCUGUCUCUA
rnacentral:SRP_RNA from 2 species